UACGGAAGGCAGCGAGUGGGGAAUAUUGCACAAUGGGCGAAAGCCUGAUGCAGCGUAUGCCGCGUGUAUGAAGAAGGCCUUAGGGUUGUAAAGUACUUUCAUCGGGGAGGAAAAAACAAAACUAAUAAUUUUAUUUCUUGACGUUACCCGAAAAAGAAGCACCGGCUAACUCCGUGCCAGCAGCCGCGGUAAUACGGAGGGUGCUAGCGUUAAUCAGAAUUACUGGGCGUAAAGAGCACGUAGGUGGUUUUUUAAGUCAGAUGUGAAAUCCCUGGGCUUAACCUAGGAACUGCAUUUUGAAACUGAAAUACUAGAGUAUCGUAGAGGGAGGUAGAAUUCUAGGUGUAGCGGUGAAAUGCGUAGAUAUCUGGAGGAAUACCUGUGGCGAAAGCGGCCUCCUAAACGAAUACUGACACUGAGGUGCGAAAGCGUGGGGAGCAAACAGGGAUUAGAUACC
rnacentral:rRNA from 1 species